rnacentral:lncRNA from 1 species
GAGUCUAAAACAGAAGAGCUGAGAAAUCAGUCUGUGGCCAUCGUGGACUGGAGCUCAUUGAGAUGGCAGCUUCUGCCCAGGGCCAAUCCACCCACCACUCUCCCUGCCCUUUGCCUAAUCGUCUUUAUUUUUUCCCUUUCCCUUUCUAAACUAUCUUCCAUUGUGGAUUUUGGAAUUACUGGCUGGAAUUACCCUUUUCUGAGGAACACCGCUACAUGUGAGCUAAUUCUGUGCAUCUCUCUUAAGGAAAGCGGCUCGGAGGUCCUCAGCCUAGAGAAGGGGCUCAAACACCUGAGGGGCCGAACGCCCGUGAGGUCGGGGAGGACGGUGGCCACUGCCCCGCCGGGCCGAGCCACAGCAGAGCCCCCGGCGCCGAGCGGGAGCGGCCGGGGCGGGCCGGGCCUCAGGGGAGCGGCCGCGGCGGCCCCCCCCCCCCCCCCCCCCCCCCCCCCCCCCCCCCCCCCCCCCCCCCCCCCCCCGGCGGGGCCUGCGAGGGGAGCUGCGGGGGCUGCUCGGAGCCGGGAAAUGACGGGGGGAGCCACCAGAACUGCUGGGGAAACGCUGGUUCAGCCUAAGUUAGUAGAAAGGAAUUUUGUAUAACAAGUGAGAGAGAGAAGAUAGCUGGAGCUCUCAUCCUCUAUGAAUAUUUGCUUGCAGAAGCCAGGACGCUUAUUGUUUUCAAAAUGGCCAACCACAGUAAAUGGUAAAUAAACAUCUAAUGUCUUACAAACACCAGUCAGCCUUAGUGUUACUCAUCCUAUUCCACUACACUAAUUAGAAUGUGUUACUGUGCUUAGAUCACCAUAACUAUAUAUAAGAGUAUGUAUUGUCAAAUUCAUUAAAAUGCCCUCCCCCCAGAGAAUUUGGACUCGGAUGAUGUCAUCUGGAAGUGCAAACUGCUUACCCUGCCUUUUGAGUAUUCCCAUAUUUAUUAGGACAUAGUCAUGAGGGAAAACAGCAUAAUUUUUUUCUGAAAAUAC